rnacentral:rRNA from 1 species
GACGAACGCUGGCGGCGCGCUUAACACAUGCAAGUCGAGCGGUAAGGCCCUUUCGGGGGUACACGAGCGGCGAACGGGUGAGUAACACGUGGGUGACCUGCCCUCAGCUCUGGGAUAAGCCUGGGAAACUGGGUCUAAUACUGGAUAUGACUCCACGGUGCAUGUCGUGGGGUGGAAAGCCUUGUGCGGCUGAGGAUGGGCCCGCGGCCUAUCAGCUUGUUGGUGGGGUGANGGGCCUACCAAGGCGACGACGGGUAGCCGGCCUGAGAGGGCGACCGGCCACACUGGGACUGAGACACGGCCCAGACUCCUACGGGAAGCAGCAGUGGGGAAUCUUGCGCAAUGGGCGAAAGCCUGACGCAGCGACGCCGCGUGAGGGAUGACGGCCUCGGUGUAAC